rnacentral:rRNA from 1 species
UACGGGAGGCAGCAGUGGGGAAUAUUGCACAAUGGGCGAAAGCCUGAUGCAGCUAUGCCGCGUGUAUGAAGAAGGCCUUAGGGUUGUAAAGUACUUUCAUCGGGGAGGAAAACAAAACUAAUAAUUUUAUUUCUUGACGUUACCCGAAAAAGAAGCACCGGCUAACUCCGUGCCAGCAGCCGCGGUAAUACGGAGGGUGCUAGCGUUAAUCAGAAUUACUGGGCGUAAAGAGCACGUAGGUGGUUUUUUUAAGUCAGAUGUGAAAUCCCUGGGCUUAACCUAGGAACUGCAUUUUGAAACUGAAAUACUAGAGUAUCGUAGAGGGAGGUAGAAUUCUAGGUGUAGCGGUGAAAUGCGUAGAUAUCUGGAGGAAUACCUGUGGCGAAAGCGGCCUCCUAAACGAAUACUGACACUGAGGUGCGAAAGCGUGGGGAGCAAACAGGGAUUAGAUACCCUCUGAGACGCCAACGGACAACAC